rnacentral:rRNA from 1 species
AGUCAAUAGAUACCCGGGUAGUCCACGCCGUAAACGAUGAGUACUAGGUGUAGGAGGUAUCGACUCCUUCUGUGCCGCAGUUAAACACAAUAAGUACUCCGCCUGGGAAGUACGGUCGCAAGAUUAAAAACUCAAAGGAAUUGACGGGGGCCCGCACAAGCAGCGGAGCAUGUGGUUUAAUUCGAGGCAACGCGAAGAACCUUACCUAGACUUGACAUCUCCUGAAUAGCGCAGAGAUGCGUGAAGCCCUUCGGGGCAGGAAGACAGGUGGUGCAUGGUUGUCGUCAGCUCGUGUCGUGAGAUGUUGGGUUAAGUCCCGCAACGAGCGCAACCCCUAUUAUUAGUUGCUACCAUUAAGUUGAGCACUCUAAUGAGACUGCCCGGGUUAACCGGGAGGAAGGCGGGGAUGACGUCAAAUCAUCAUGCCCCUUAUGUCUAGGGCUACACACGUGCUACAAUGGUGAGAACAACGAGAUGCAAUACCGCGAGGU